UACGUAGGGGGCAAGCGUUGUCCGGAUUCAUUGGGCGUAAAGAGCGUGUAGGCGGCCAGGUAGGUCGGUUGGGAAAACUGGAGGCUCAACCUUCAGAGGUCGACCGAAACCAUCUGGCUAGAGUCCGGGGGAGGAGAGUGGAAUUCCUGGUGUAGCGGUGAAAUGCGCAGAUAUCAGGAAGAACACCCGUGGCGAAAGCGGCUCUCUGGAACGGUACUGACGCUGAGACGCGAAAGCGUGGGGAGCGAACAGG
rnacentral:rRNA from 1 species